AAUAGAUCUAUUUUGUUAGAUUAUUUAAAUUGUUUGUUUACGUAGUAUUAGUAGUAUAGAAGUGGUGUUGAAUGAAGUACUGUAAAGGAAGAUGAAAAUAGUAGUUAUUUGUCUAGUAGUAGAGAUCUAUCCUCGUACCUUUUGUAUAAUGGAUUGAUGAUUAGAUGUUGUUUUAUAACAUACUCUCGAAGUGGAAGGAUUUACCUGGUAAGUAUAUGUUAACGUUGUAUAGUUAUAUAUUGAUUACUAGGUGGUAAUGAAAUGUUUAUCGUUUUUCGUGAUAGCUAGUUUAUUAGUGUAGUAUAUUUAAGUAUUGUAAGGUUGAUAUAGAAUACAUUCACUAGUGUCAAUCUUAGUCAAUUAUAAGGGGGAUAAGCUUCUUAUAACAUAUCAGAACUGAUUAGAUUUAAUAUACAACCUAAGUAGAAUUAAUAAUGUUUUCCUUUAAAAGUAGUUUAGGUUUAUUGGGUUUACCCGUAAAGGUUCGUUUAAAUAGCUAAUAAAUAUCUACUAAUUGUUUAUAGAUAUAUAUAAUGUUAAUAUGAGUAUUAAUAAUUGUUAUAAUAGUUUAAGUAUUAACUGCAGAUGUAUUCAGUCGGUAUGUUAAAGUGUAGUAAAUUGGGGUAAAGGAAUUCGGCAAAUACUAAUCUCGCCUGUUUAUCAAAAACAUGUCUCUUUGUUUAGGUACACAUAAAGAGUCGGGCCUGCUCGGUGAACAAAAUUGUUUUAACAGCUGCGGUAUUUUAACUGUACUAAGGUAGCAUAAUAAUUUGCCUUAUAAUUUGAGGCUAGAAUGAAUGGUUUGACGAAGGUUAAACUGUCUCUAUCCUAUUUUUUAGAAUUUAAUUUACAUAGUGAAAAAGCUUGUAUUUUUUAAAGGGACGAGAAGACCCUAAUGAGCUUUAACUUUAUUAUUACUUGGUUAUUGAUUGAUGAAGUACUAUAUAAGUUUUAAUUGGGGUGAUUAAGGAAUAAAAAUAAACAGUAACUUCCUUAGGGUAUAAAUUGUUGGAUAAAUUAACCAAUAUUAUUGCUUAUAAUAGAGUUACCAUAGGGAUAACAGCGUAAUUUAUUUUGAGAGUUCUUAUUGAAAAAUGAGAUUGCGACCUCGAUGUUGGAUUAAAGUAACCUUAAGGUGCAGAAGCUUUAAAAGGUAAAUCUGUUCGAUUUUUAAAACUUUACAUGAUCUGAGUUCAGACCGGCGUGAGCCAGGUUGGUUUCUAUCUUUUAAGAAUGUAAGAGGCUUUUCUUAGUACGAGAGGAUCAGAGAACGCUAACAUUUAUGUUGUUAAUAUACAAAGUU
rnacentral:rRNA from 1 species